CGCGGCCUAUCAGCUUGUUGGUGAGGUAAUGGCUCACCAAGGCGUCGACGGGUAGCCGGCCUGAGAGGGUGACCGGCCACACUGGGACUGAGACACGGCCCAGACUCCUACGGGAGGCAGCAGUGGGGAAUAUUGCACAAUGGGCGGAAGCCUGAUGCAGCAACGCCGCGUGAGGGAUGACGGCCUUCGGGUUGUAAACCCCUUUCAGCAGGGACGAAAAUGACGGUACCUGCAGAAGAAGCUCCGGCCAACUACGUGCCAGCAGCCGCGGUAAUACGUAGGGUGCAAGCGUUGUCCGGAAUUAUUGGGCGUAAAGAGCUCGUAGGCGGUUUGUCACGUCUGCUGUGAAAAUCCAAGGCUCAACCUUGGACUUGCAGUGGGUACGGGCAGGCUAGAGUGCGGUAGGGGAGAUGGGAAUUCCUAGUGUAGCGGUGAAAUGCGCAGAUAUUAGGAGGAACACCAGUGGCGAAGGCGCCGCUCUGGGCCGUAACUGACGCUGAGGAGCGAAAGCGUGGGUAGCAAACAGGAUUAGAUACCCUGGUAGUCCAUGCCGUAAACGUUGGGCACUAGGUAUGGGAUCAUAUCAACGGAUUCCGUGCCGUAGCUAACGCAUUAAGUGCCCCGCCUGGGGAGUACGG
rnacentral:rRNA from 1 species